rnacentral:misc_RNA from 1 species
UGUGGGAGCUGGCUUGCCUGCGAUAGCGGUGGCUCAGUCGCUGAAAUGGUGACUGUCAGACCGCUAUCGCAGGCAAGCCAGCUCCCACA